rnacentral:lncRNA from 1 species
UUGGAAAAGAGACGUGAUUUGGGAUACCUUUAAGAAUAGAGAUGUAGGAGAAAUUCUAUCAAUCCUGCUUUCUUGAUUAUAAGCACUAGAUAAAAUGUGCUGGAAGUUUGAACCGAAAGGAGUUUAUUUAAUAAAAAGUGUUUAUCGCAGUUUGAGAGUCAUUAUCAGUGACAUGGGUGUUGCUGCUUCACAAUUAUGG